GAGAUAGAGGCGUGCUCGAAAGAGAGCCGUAACACAGGUGCUGCAUGGCUGUCGUCAGCUCGUGUCGUGAGAUGUUGGGUUAAGUCCCGCAACGAGCGCAACCCUUGUCAUUAGUUGCUACAUUCAGUUGGGCACUCUAAUGAGACUGCCGGUGACAAGCCGGAGGAAGUGGGGAUGACGUCAAGUCCUCAUGGCCCUUAUAGGUGGGGCUACACACGUCAUACAAUGGCUGGUACAAAGGGUUGCCAACCCGCGAGGGGGAGCUAAUCCCAUAAAGCCAGUCGUAGUCCGGAUCGUAGUCUGCAACUCGACUACGUGAAGUCGGAAUCGCUAGUAAUCGUGGAUCAGAAUGUCACGGUGAAUACGUUCCCGGGUCUU
rnacentral:rRNA from 1 species